UGCUGAUGAUCAUGAUGAUGAUGGGAACAUCAAAUUUCCUCUCUUCCCUCUUCCCCAGCAUCAUCCGUAAUAUGCUCAGCAGGAAUACACGCAUUGUGAUUGUGCUUCAGGACGAGGGCACACUUUCAAAAAUUCAACUGAAAUUAGGGGCAUUUUUCCAACGUCUUGUGGAGUUGAAUAUGGAAAUGCAGUGUGGUGCCGGCCUCUGGUCCAGUGAGCGUCCUUUCUCCGAGUGCGUUGCAUCAAGGGAGUGAAAUUUCGAUUUCAGCCAGCAGUUUUAGUGGUGGCGUGGUAUAUAAAAUUUAGUGUUCUAUAUGACUUUAAUUCGACGGCUUAUCCAUUGUAUUUGCUGAGCGGAGGCGCGUUCGUUCGUUCGUUCGUUCGCCAGAGUCAUCCUCUGAAUGUAAGCGCUUAAUACGCUAUAGAGGCACUCUUUCAUUUGGAAAAAGAGCGGCACGGCGGCGGCGGCUCCUCUUUCACUCAUCUGCACCCUUUUCAACCCCCGCUAGCCCGCCCGCACGCUUUGCCACCCAAAUAGCAGUCAGCGAUUUUCUCUUUGCGUCACUCUUUUUUAUUUUCAGAGCGUUCUCUCUCUCUCUCUCGGCGUUGAGAGUCAGUCCAACUGUAUUAAAGCCGCGUGAUAUGAAAGCGAAAAAGAGGUUAUAAUAUGUGUGUGUGCGCGCGUGGUAGGGGUUUUAAAAGGGCGUAAUAAUCAUCGUCGUGCGCGAAUAUGGUAUGCGCCCCGGCUGUUUGCUACGCUGCACCUCUCGAUGUGACUGAGCACACGCACAUAGUGGCAAUUAUUGCCACAUUCUCCACCCUCCCAUCUAACUGACAAUUACCCCAUUUUAAGGGACUCGAUCGUGCAGCGUGUAAUGCAAACUGGUAAUACUAAUUUGCCACUUUCCUAAAUGUUUUAAAAAAUUUUCUUUUCAAUAAAUUGCACCUACUUUUCACAUCAUAACGCACGAACAAUGGCAGAAAAAAUUAGAUAUUUAAAUAAAAUGCAGAAUUAGUUUCCUCCACCUUUUUUAAUUAUUAG